rnacentral:rRNA from 1 species
AUUGAACGCUGGCGGCAGGCCUAACACAUGCAAGUCGGGCGGUAACAGGAAUCAGCUUGCUGAUUCGCUGACGAGCGGCGGACGGGUGAGUAAUGUCUGGGAAACUGCCUGAUGGGGGGGGAUAACUACUGGAAACGGUAGCUAAUACCGCAUAACGUCUACGGACCAAAGCGGGGGACCUUCGGGCCUCAAGCCAGCCGAUGUGCCAAGAUGGGAUUAGCUAGUAGGUGGGCUAACGGCUCACCUAGGCGACGAUCCCUAGCUGGUCUGAGAGGAUGACCAGCAACACUGGAACUGAGACACGGUCCAGACUCCUACGGGAGGCAGCAGUGGGGAAUAUUGCACAAUGGGCGCAAGCCUGAUGCAGCCAUGCCGCGUGUAUGAAGAAGGCCUUCGGGUUGUAAAGUACUUUCAGCGGGGAGGAAGGUGUUGUGGUUAAUAACCGCAGCAAUUGACGUUACCCGCAGAAGAAGCACCGGCUAACUCCGUGCCAGCAGCCGCGGUAA